rnacentral:lncRNA from 1 species
AAAACAAUCCAAGAGUAGUAGUACUACAACCAGCCUCACUACGUGAGCAUCUUCACAAUGAGUGUGUGCGUGCUUCACUUGUGUCCUGAUAGCUUCAGUUAGCUGCAAUAUAGAUCCUCUUUGCCUCUGAUCCUCGGCGGUUCUGCCAGUAGAUUGUUUGGGCUAACAGAGCAGAGGAGGAAGAAGAGGUUGCCGGGCUCGCUGCGGUGGCUCCAGGCUUGCGCCGGUCGAAGCUUAAGAUAUAGUCUACAACAGCGGUUCGAUCCGACACGGCUGGGAGUCCUCGCGGUGGCGGUGGCCAUGGGAUCGACGGAGGACGGCCACGAGGGCACUCGGUCCACGGAUCUGGGGGAGAGGAGGGGCGGAGCGAGCGAUGGAGAGGGAGGGAGAGUGGAUAGGGAUGGAGGGGAGGCCGAGGGAAGGUCAUUAUCCUCUUGGCGGCGCUGUAGCGACGCGGGGCGGCUAGCGGGUGCGGUGGCGACGGCGAGCAGCGUCGGGCGCGCGCGUGCAUGGUGACACGGGGAGGAGGGAGCGCGCGGGGCAGGCUGGGCUGGCUGGGCCUGCCACUGUGCACUAAGGCCCAGUCAGUCGAGGCCUUUUUCUUUUCUGUCUAUUUCUUCUUUGUUUCAUGUUUUUAUUUCUGUUUUGCUAAUUGUUUAGCCUCUAAACUACUUUUGUAAAAUGUGAAACUUGGUACGAAUAUUACAGUACAAUAUUACCUGCCACCAAAAACUUGCUUGGGUAAAAUACAAUUUCAUUUGUAGAUUGGGUUUUUAAAAAAAGGAUUAACAUGUGUUGUUUGACUACUGUUUUAGGUUGUUAGAGUCACUUAAGUAUUUUAGGUGAUGUUGUUUUCCUAAACAUAAUUAGAAAUAGAUUAGUUACUAUUUAAUGAACAUUUUAGGUUCAAUUUGAACAACUUUUAUUUUUCACUUUAAAUCUAAAUUGCAAUUUGCAUUGGAAUUUGAAAAGAGACAAGAUGCAAUGAUGAUCAAGCAUAGUUAAUCAUGGUGACUUGGCAUGGUCAGAGGGUGAUCACUGUUGUGUAAGGCUGGGGAUGUUACAAGUCUCCUCCACUACAAGAAAUCUCGUCCCGGGAUUUAAGUAGAGGAGAAGAGGGUAACUGCGGAGGGACUAACCGUUUGCAAGGUUGAUUAUCUGACAGAUAACUUAGAGAAUGUGGUAGAAAGAGUAUCUCGAGUUGAAACUUAGGGGAACAUCUAGAGCAAAGGUAAGAAGUUUCAAUAAGAAGUUUCAAGUGAAUGUUCAUCCGGUCGUUAUCUGAAGGGAGCAAGAAAAGGGGGUUCAGAGCAUCAGAAAUAGAUCAUCUCUCGGAAAGUGGCUCGCGAAAUACAUACGAAGUCAAGCGAGAGGAAUAACUUUGGGAACAGGGAGGUACAAGAGAGUCAAGUUCUGAUCCUGUGGAACUGUGGGUUAUGGGCCCACCAUGUGGCUUAAGAGUAGAAAGAGUGGUGACAUCUUGCACGGUCAUGAUAGCAAGGUAUGUCAGAGCAUAGCAUGUCAGUUCUGUUGGCAACAGCAUCGGUACCAAGGGCAAGGGACGAAGAGAACCAUUUUCCUGCUCGUUGAAACGAGGCGGACCAAUAGGCAAAGUUCUCAUCCAUCGGUGGUUACCGAAAUGUCAUCAACAAUAGUAAUAGGGUCUUAUUGACCGAGUUGUACUUUGAGGUGUUUACCUACGCAGGGAAUUAUCCCUGCUCGGAUAAGUUAGAUUAUAGGAAAAGUUAAAGAAAACAAUGGAAAGGAAAAUAUGAUUAGUAUAUUAAUCAUACCAACGGAAAGGAAAAUGUGUUUGUAUCCGAGUAUCAAGAGUAUACCUUUCCCAAAGAAAGGCAGAGCAUGAUAUACAUGAUGGGACUCCAAAUAUGAAACCAUGUAGACAAAAAGGGAAAAGAAUUUAUGAGGUUUACCCAUACCACGGUGUUUGGAUAGUUCAUCAAGAAACAUUUAGCAUUGCAUUUCCGAUGUCCUUAUUGACAGUUAGAGUACCACAGUCAUGCUUUGGGGUAGCAUCGACAUGGUCAUCAGAUAAAGGUUGGACCUUGGGAACACAAAGGAUCCAUGCGGACUUUUUUUGAACAUAUCAUGCAAUUUUACCAAUCAAAAAAAUGAGGAUGUGGCUGAUGGGUUAAGCAGCAAUCCAUCGACAUGUCAACAAGAUGUGUUUCCAAAAUUUUAUAUGAACAAGUUUGUGUUGGGGGAGGCAAGAAUGUUGUUCAUGAUAACACAAAUCAUCAAGGGGCAAGGAUGGUAUUUCUCAUCAUGAAUUCAAUUGAUAUCCUGGAAGAUCUCAGAAUGUUGAUGAUGAUCACGACACAUUUGUUGAGAGAUUUCAUGAAGAUGUAAUCAAUCGGUGAUGACAUCAAGUCAAAGGAAUGCUGAAGCAAAAUGUUAUUAGAACCACGAAUAUGACACAAACUCGAAAUCAAACUUGUUGUUUGCAGUAAAAUGAUAAGAUGAGGAAGAUUGACGUAAGAUUAGCUCAUUGUCAGAAGUUGCUCCGGGCAUAAGGACUAGGUAACACAGUUAAAAGUUGGCACGAUAAAAUAUAGCCGAUGAGUCUAGGAAUGAUGUGAUGGGGUAUUAAACUUCCCAGUAACUAGUAUUAGGGGUAAUACCGGAAAGUAAAUCAGAGUAGAGGUUGGACAGGGGAAAUGAUUUGCAGAGGACAAGUAUUUUAACUUAUCCGGGAAAUGGAAUCAAUAAGGAAAUAUGGUCGGAACCACGAUUGCAAAGGAUCAAUUCAUAGAUACAAGAUGAACCUGUACCAAGGAAAUAACUAUUUUUACGAACAUCUUCCAUGAUAAGUUCUACAUCGGGUCCAGUAGCAGCAGAUUACUUAGCUAUGAAGGCAGUAGCAGUAAGUUGGCAAGAUCAUUUUGAUUUUUCUACUAUUGUAGGUCAGCAGUGACGUAGAAGUUGUUGAUGACGUAAGGGCUGAGCUUAAAGCAGCUCAUAUGUCGGUUUGUAAGUGCUAUAUAAACAGCACCACCCCUCCCGUUGUAACUCACUCAAGCCAGCACCAAAACAAUCCAAGAGUAGUAGUACUACAACCAGCCUCACUACGUGAGCAUCUUCACAACGAGUGUGUGCGUGCUUCACUUGUGUCCUGCUAGCUUCAGUUAGCUGCAGUAUAGAUCCUCUUUGCCUCUGAUCCUCGGCGGUUCUACCAGUAGAUUGUUUGGGCUAACAGAGCAGAGGAGGAAGAAGAGGUUGCCGGGCUCGCUGCGGUGGCUCCAGGCUUGCGCCGGUCGAAGCUUAAGAUAUAGUCUACAACAGCGGUUCGAUCCGACACGGCUGGGAGUCCUCGCGGUGGCGGUGGCCAUGGGAUCGACGGAGGACGGCCACGAGGGCACUUGGGCCGCGGAUCUGGAGGAGAGGAGGGGCGGAGCGAGCGAUGGAGAGGGAGGGAGAGUGGAUAGGGAUGGAGGGGAGGCCGAGGGAAGGUCAUUAUCCUCUU